GGGAUUGGCUGGCUAAGGGGUGACAUCACUAGGAGCAGGGCGCACCCUAGCUUGGCUUGGUGAAGUUUGUGUGAGGCACAAAUUAUUUGGGGAUUUUUUUUCCCAUUGUUUUUUGGGGGGGUGGGAGCCUCCCAGGGCUUUUUUUGGGGGUGGGCUCCAUUCCUUCAGGUUCAGAAAUUGGUGGCAAGGUGCAAGAGGGGAGGAGUAGGGUAGGAUCAGUGGUGCCCUUUGAGGGCCCCACUAGCCAUGCUGGGGGAGCUGCUCCGCCAUGCCCCACUCUGUGGUAAAAGUCAAAUAUUUAAUGUUUCCAUUUGCCCUCACAUGCAUCAUAUUUUUUCCCAUAGGCAAGCCAAAAAUCUCAGAGGCGUGGAUCGAACCUACCUCCAACAGCCGCUGUUAGUGUUGGAAGGGUCACCAGUUGGGCUCGAACUUGCUGCCUUCUUCAGUUGUUGGCCAUGGGGUUGGCAGCAUAGGUUGGUCUUGAAAUUAACUUGCCACCAAUAAGGAUCAUCCGCUUUGUCUUGGUUGGUGACGUGGUUAGGUCUCCAGAUAAACCUGCUGCUUAGCGAUUUAGGCAUAACGAACAACCUGGCUAUGUCUUGAAUCCACUGCCUGCAAUGGUCAUGAGGCAGUGACAGCUAUGAGCCCAAGAGCUAAAUGGGCCAUGGAAACUGAAUUCCUCCACUGCCUCCAUAGGGGUCCCCAACAGGCCCCCUGUGACUGAGGCAUAUUCAUGUGAUGGGAUCAUCAGGAGUCACCAGGCCCUGUUUGCCUUCAUCCAGUGUACGUGAUGAAGAUGCUAAAUCAUGAUGCGAUUAAUAAGCAGGGCAAAAAAGAAAGAGAGGAUUCAGCAGGAAUCUCAAUAUUGGUGAGCUAUUUAUAAUUUUUGAUGUAUGGAUAUGGAAUGAAAGGGGAAUCCAUGCCAUUUUGUGCUAUGGGAGCAAAUACUG